rnacentral:rRNA from 1 species
GAAUACGUUCCCGGGCCUUGUACACACCGCCCGUCACACCACGAGAGUUUGCAACACCCGAAGUCGGUGAGGUAACCGCAAGGAGCCAGCCGCCGAAGGUGGGGUAGAUGAUUGGGGUGAAGUCGUAACAAGGUAUCCGUACCGGAAGGUGCGGAUGGAUCACCUCCUUU